GGGUGUUGCAGGCUGGUGGAGGAGCUGGGGUCAAAGCCACAAACCAGACUCCCCUCUCUGCUUUGUCCAGGACUUGCCCAUUGAGUGUACAUCUCUCCUCUGAACCUUACAACUCUCCUAUUUUGGGAGGAAGCACAGAGAGACUGCAUAACCUGCACCAGGUCACACCACUGGCAAGUGGAGGAUCCAGGAUUCAAACCCAGGCAGCCUGGCCCCACUGCCUCAGAAUGCCCGCCCCACAGAUGUUGGAGAAUUCGAAAUGAAAUCAUUUAUGCGAAGUGCGAAGUAGGUAAUGGAUAAAAGUGGCUGCCUUCCUA